ensembl:lncRNA
UUUACACCACAAUAUCUGACAUGGUGGAGACCAAAACUUGAAAAUGGUCAGUGAUCAGUGAUUAUCCUGUUGUAUCUGAUUUCCCCUGAAAUUUUAAAUUUACAUAUACAUACAGGUUUCUCUCAAAAUACAGAGGUAGCUUUGUGGACCGACGUUUAAGUGCAAUUUAAAGAAACUUUACUUUUGUGUUACCAUUUAUACUUCUGCCCAUUUGUGAGAGAAGAAAUAUUCAGUCAUUACUUUGGAACAGAAAAGGGCAAUCCAUUUCCUCAAGCUGGAAGAUACCAGUUAAUUUUGGCUUCCCCCACUCACCCCUGAUCAGACAUGGUAUCUUCCAGGUUCUGAUUGGCUGAAUACACCUGAUCCAGGUAAUGAGCAGGGACAUUUGGAAACAAGCAUGGUAGUGGCCUCCCAGGAGCAGGGUCAUACACUGUUGCUUUAAAGAUUGAAUUAGAUUUUAAAAUAUGAUACAUUCUGCAUUAAAAUCAAAAUACUACUUAUAUGCUAUUGCAUCAAAAAUAUUCAAGUAUGAUAGUACAGUAAUGAUAUUAUUAAGAUUUAUACGUUCUUAGUACUUUUAUUCCUGAUACUAUAAGAACAUUUGACUGCUUUUUCUGUACCUAAUGAAAAUGUUGAAUGCAGGGAUUUUGCUGCUUUUCAGUAUUUGCUCAACUUCUUCUAAAGACACACCCACCUGAGCCCCUCUAAGGGACUAUGGAGGCAAAUAUGGUCUGGUGACCCCCUCCCCCUCAAACCUCUCCCCAGCCCACAGCCUCCAAAUCCACUCGUAACGCAAAGAAACCUUUCAUGUGACUGCUGGGGUAGAGGUUGAACUUUGGAAACCUUAAAGGAGAAACCCCCGAAGACACACGUCUUGUUGUGGACGUUACCGACCACUAUGGCUUCCACUCCUUCCGCGUCUGCUUUGUCCGCUGUUCUCCGAUGUCGGGGAAAUAUCUGGCCCAGAAGUCCGCCGACCAAGCGGCCUUCCGCCUCGGUGUGCAGCCGCGGACUGGCCGGUGGGGCCCUACGCGAAAACCAAAACCAGACGUCAGCUUGUGAGGCUUUUCUCCAAAGAGAGCGUGUUGUGUAUGGUGGGAGAAUAACUGUGUCGCGUGAGCCGUCCUCGGUGCAUAGAAAAACACCGAAAGAAAAAGAUUUAAGGAAAAUGAACAGAUUUAAUUAUUUGAAACCCCCAGCGCACGAGCACUCAGCUGCGUCUGGCUUCCAAAACGCGCUGGUGCGUCAGCUGGCGCGCAGCCUGACAUUUAACCUAUCUGGAAUUGAUAAGUGCUCUAAAAUAAUCCAAACCAUUAAAUACGAAACACACCGUGCACCCAGUGGACCUCCAGCUGGUAUUAUGAAAGUGUGCAUAUCGUUCCCGUGUCCGAUGGAAAACGAACAUUUGCAGUCUCUCGUGUCGACACUAAAGAGCACCUGCUCAUCUUUGACUGCUCUGCUGUCAGAGAUGAUGUUAUUGUGGAGGUUUAACAGCCCUGGUGAUGAACUGGAUGCCCUGCAGAGAAAUGGACAAAGUGGCACUUCCGCUGACUUGACCGCCUCCAAAGACAACUCUGGCCGUGGACAAAGGAUCACAGAGGACAGACCUGAUUGAGAGUUCAAGGCCUCAGCACCAAAAAUACACUGUGACCCAACCUUAUUUAUUGACUUUCACUUGGCUUUCACAGUGCACAGAAACAUUUGGACUUCAGCCCAGUACCCAAAGAAAAACAACUGGUUGUUUUUUUUAAUUUGCUUUACGUAAAAAAUAAGUCAUGGAGUGAACUGUACUGAACUGUAGUCCUGCAUUCUUAUUAUUUACUGUUCAAGGUUUUUAUAGUGGGUAUAAUUAAAAUAUUGACAGUGCAUUUUAUUAUUGGUUUUGGCCUGUAUGUUUUGCACAAACUUUAUUUUGCAAAGAUUGUGGAAUAAAAUUUUCCUUUGGAAUGGAGCAAAACUAUAAAACCCCACAAAAUAUCUAAAUCAAGCCCGAGUAAAAGCUUUAUACAGUAAAUGUGCAUGUAGCAUCAGAUGGAAAUAUUCACUUAUAGUGAUGGCAGAUAAAGUGGAACAACACAUAGUCUCUUUAGACCACAGCAAAAAUGAUAACACAUUUUAUUAAAG